UAAAACCAGCACCUCAAGUGGUCAGGAUGAUUAUUGGGCCUAAAGCAUCCGUAGCCUGUUCUAUAAGUUUCCGGUUAAAUCCAUGCGCUCAACGUAUGGGCCGCCGGAAAUACUGUAAAACUAGGGAGUGGGAGAGGUAGACGGUACUCGGUAGGAAGAGGUAAAAUUCUUUGAUCUAUUGAUGACCACCUGUGGCGAAGGCGGUCUACCAGAACACGUUCGACGGUGAGGGAUGAAAGCUGGGGGAGCAAACCGGAUUAGAUACCCGGGUAGUCCCAGCUGUAAACGAUGCAAACUAGGUGAUGCGUUGGCUUGUUGCUAGCGCAGUGCCUCAGGGAAGCCGUUAAGUUUGCCGCCUGGGAAGUACGUACGCAAGUAUG
rnacentral:rRNA from 2 species